CGCAUGUCGCAUUCCGAUGGUGCCUGUGUAAACAGGUGAAAAGGGAAUGCGCGACCGGGACCGCCCGGCAGGGCGCAGCCGCCCCCGCGACCGUGACCGAAGGGGUCGCCCGAUGCCACUGGCCGACAGGCCGGGAAGGCGGGCGACCGUCAGGAUCCCUGACCUUCGCAAGCCGGGAGACCUGCCAUCGGCGACGACGAAAC
rnacentral:ncRNA from 2 species